GACAUUGUGGCAGAGUGAUUUAAUGCACCAGAUUAGAAAUCUUGUCUCUUCGGAGGCGUUUGUUCAAAUCAGGCCAAUGUCG